rnacentral:rRNA from 1 species
GAUGAACGCUGGCGGCGUGCCUAAUACAUGCAAGUCGAGCGAACAGACGAGGAGCUUGCUCCUCUGACGUUAGCGGCGGACGGGUGAGUAACACGUGGAUAACCUACCUAUAAGACUGGGAUAACUUCGGGAAACCGGAGCUAAUACCGGAUAAUAUAUUGAACCGCAUGGUUCAAUAGUGAAAGACGGUUUUGCUGUCACUUAUAGAUGGAUCCGCGCCGCAUUAGCUAGUUGGUAAGGUAACGGCUUACCAAGGCAACGAUGCGUAGCCGACCUGAGAGGGUGAUCGGCCCCACUGGAACUGAGACACGGUCAAGACUCCUACGGGAGGCAGAAGUAGGGAAUCUUCCGCAAUGGGCGAAAGCCUGACGGAGCAACGCCGCGUGAGUGAUGAAGGUCUUCGGAUCGUAAAACUCUGUUAUUAGGGAAGAACAAAUGUGUAAGUAACUAUGCACGUCUUGACGGUACCUAAUCAGAAAGCCACGGCUAACUACGUG